rnacentral:lncRNA from 1 species
CGCCACCACGCCUGGCUAAUUUUUUUAUUUUUAGUAGAGAUGGGGUUUCACCAUAUUGGCCAGGCUGGUCACAAACUCCUGACCUCAAGUGAUCCACCCACCUCAGCCUCCCAAAGUGCUGGGAUUACAGGUGUGAGCCACCAUGCCCGGCCUUAACCCGUUUUCUUUUUUUUUUUUUUUUAAUUUUUAUUUUAUUUAUUUAUUUAUUUAUUUAUUUAUUUAUUUAUUUAUUUAUUUUUGAACGGAGUCUCGCUCUGUCACCCAGGCUGGACUUGCAGUGAGCCGAGAUCGCGCCACUGCACUCCAGCCUGGGCGACAGAGCGAGACUCUGUCUCAAAAAAAAAAAAAAAAAAAAAAUUUUAAGAAUGGAAAGAGGUCCUCAGGCCGAAAUAUUUGAGAACCAACACCUUUAGUAGUUUCUGCUUUUCAUGGCUUCCCACACUCUCUAGUGUUCUUGGAGUUGUCAGGUGCGGUGGCCUUUCUCAGUAGUUGGAGCAGUAGUCUGAUCAGAAUCAUCUUUGUAUUUUAUCUGCCUCCCCUUACCCCAAAUUUGCCAACCCCUGCCAAAGAUUUUUCUUAGAAAAAAAUUGCAAUGCAAAAAUAAGACUUUUAUCAUAUUUUCAAAACUAUAAGAAUUUAUUGUCUGGUUAAGAUGGUAAAUCUUAGGUUACGUAUUUUUUUAUUUGACCACAUUUAAAAUUAUUUUUUAAAAAUUUUAAAAAGAAUAUGUGAUGGAAAACAAGAACUUUUGAAGAGUGUCAUUCAUUUUAUAGAUGGUACCUUCUAUUUGUAUAUUCUUGGUUCCAGUUUACUUCCUAGAAAGCUUCAAGAGUGUCCCGCUCACCCACCCACACACCACCUUGUUCUGUUGAGUUUAGAUUUUUGUCAAGGUUACAUUUUGAAACCCGUUUGAAGUAGCUGAGCUUGAAGUUGAAAAGUAGCUACAUGUGGUAAAAACUGUAGGUGAUUUAAGUUACUUAAGCCUCGUUGCCUAUAGUUUAAUUUUGAUACUCCAUGGAAAUAGUGAACUCAGAAAAUACCACUUGUUGACUAUUUUCUCUCUUUUUUUUAUAGUUAAGCAAAACUGGCUCUAAGGAUGAUGAGUAGCACUUGGAAUUUGAGACAAGGAAAGAGCAUUCUUUAAAGAGUAAAACUGGGUUCAAAAUCUUUCAUUACUAUUUUCUGGUAUUGAGGCGACUUUUUAUAAAACACAAUUUUUUGUAUGUUUCUUACAUUAAAAAGGUUGUAAGUUGAAAGUUCAUGAAGAGAUCUUGUUGUAUUAAAUUAUUUUCACAAACUUGCCUUAAUAAAAGGUGAAAAUGUUACUGUUUAGUAUACUUUAUGAAGCCCCUUGAGCUUUAUAAAUGGACAGGCAUGGGGAAUAAGAAUCAGUGUUAAUUUAAAUGAUCUUAUCCUGGUGGAUGUGCUAUUUUCUUAAAGGAGUAUGAAGCCCUUUUCAAACUAUCAUCCCAGUGGAGCGGAGUACUCAGUGAACAGUUACUCCAUAGUGCAAUCCAUAUUAAUAGGCUUCUUCUCUUAAGUCUUCAUCUCUUCUUUUGCUUAAUUACUGAACCGUAAAUUACUUCAGAGAAAUUUAAAUGCUGGUAUUUGAACUUUAUACAUGAUACUUUUUGUAGUUUCUUUUAAUUUUUGAAAGAUGAACUGCUUCCUUUUAAUAAAUUAAUAUCUAUUUAUACUUUUCUCUUGAUUUGGGUCAAGAUGUUUGAUCAUGAGUGCUUUGAGUGGUAUGUGGAAUAGGAGAAUAUAAAAACAAAUCUGCCAAAUACACUAGAAAGCAUUUUAGUAAGAAAUGCUGGCCCUUUCUUAAAACAUUUCUCUUGCAUAUACCAGGAUGGGAGUAAAAGAUGCCUUAAUAUUUAGUUUUUGUAUUGUUGGAGACAUUGAUUUUAAUAAAAUCCUAUUUAUCUGCUGUUGUGUGCUUUUAGUUGUUGGAUAACUGAGGUCUCCUAAAUGGUUCAACAUAAAACCACAUUUCAAGUCUUGUUUCUUUUUGGAGUGUCUUUUCAAGUAUUCAAAUGUAUUUCUCAACCUGAGCAUCUUUUUAAUCAUAUACAUGGGAGUCUUUUAAAUGCUGAACUGUUACACAUGCUUGAUUUAAAAAUAAUAAUAAUAGAGGAAACUAUUGGUCUAGUUGUGCCAAGAAAAGUUUCUGAUGUUUAUGUGUGAUGUACAGUGAUUUUGUAUAUGCGCCCAGCUUUAAGAACACAUAAAACUAUUACGUCUGGUAGGAAGAUUGUUAGUGCCUCAAGUUACACCUGUGCAGCUUGGGUCUGAGUUUUGAUAGAACAGUAAACAUUUAAAGAAGUUAAGAGCAGUUUGAGCUGUAUCCGCGGUUUUUACUCGUUAACUGACUUCAGCUAAAUAGUUUGAAUUAUAGAGUAAGUAUAAUUACAGCAAAGGAGUUAAUCUCAUUUUCAAAGCUGUUUCUCAUUUUAUUUCUUGAAUUAAUGUAGAGCAAAACAUGUUAAAAUUCAGGACCACUGGAAUAUGGCAACUUAUGUUUCAGGGUUGUGUGUGGGUAGUAUUUGUGGUUGUAUUGGUUUGUUUUUUGUUUUUGGAGAAACAUCUGCUAGUGGAAUAAAAUACUUUGUUUUGCUCUGAAGAGACUGAAAUUGUUCAGGCUUAUUAUGGCUCAUAGAUUACAGAGAAUGAUGCUAGUUACAUGCCAAUGAACUAUUUUUACUCUUUUUAUAUGAAAUGUAAAAAUUUGUAGGGGUUCUGGUGAUGGUGGUACCUCUUAUUACCUUAUGUAAAACACUUGAACAGCCUCAUCAAUAUUGCCGUCAUCUGUUUAACACUCCCAGUAUAUUUUCUCAAUGUCUGUUUACUUAAAAUUUUGUGGAGUGACAUAAUUAAUAAGCAAUAAAGUCUGAAUUAUACACAGCG